GUCGAGCGGAACGAUCCUAGCUUGCUAGGAGGCGUCGAGCGGCGGACGGGUGAGUAAUGCAUAGGAAUCUGCCCGGUAGUGGGGGAUAACCUGGGGAAACUCAGGCUAAUACCGCAUACGUCCUACGGGAGAAAGCAGGGGAUCUUCGGACCUUGCGCUAUCGGAUGAGCCUAUGUCGGAUUAGCUUGUUGGUGAGGUAAUGGCUCACCAAGGCGACGAUCCGUAGCUGGUCUGAGAGGAUGAUCAGCCACAUCGGGACUGAGACACGGCCCGAACUCCUACGGGAGGCAGCAGUGGGGAAUAUUGGACAAUGGGCGAAAGCCUGAUCCAGCCAUGCCGCGUGUGUGAAGAAGGCUUUCGGGUUGUAAAGCACUUUCAGUGAGGAAGAAAGCCUUGGGGCUAAUACCUCCAAGGGACGACAUCACUCACAGAAGAAGCACCGGCUAACUCCGUGCCAGCAGCCGCGGUAAUACGGAGGGUGCAAGCGUUAAUCGGAAUUACUGGGCGUAAAGCGCGCGUAGGCGGCGUGAUAAGCCGGUUGUGAAAGCCCCGGGCUCAACCUGGGAACGGCAUCCGGAACUGUCAGGCUAGAGUGCAGGAGAGGAAGGUAGAAUUCCCGGUGUAGCGGUGAAAUGCGUAGAGAUCGGGAGGAAUACCAGUGGCGAAGGCGGCCUUCUGGACUGACACUGACGCUGAGGUGCGAAAGCGUGGGUAGCAAACAGGAUUAGAUACCCUGGUAGUCCACGCCGUAAACGAUGUCGACUAGCCGUUGGGGUCCUAGAGACCUUUGUGGCGCAGUUAACGCGAUAAGUCGACCGCCUGGGGAGUACGGCCGCAAGGUUAAAACUCAAAUGAAUUGACGGGGGCCCGCACAAGCGGUGGAGCAUGUGGUUUAAUUCGAUGCAACGCGAAGAACCUUACCUACCCUUGACAUCGUGCGAACUUGGUAGAGAUACCUUGGUGCCUUCGGGAACGCACAGACAGGUGCUGCAUGGCUGUCGUCAGCUCGUGUUGUGAAAUGUUGGGUUAAGUCCCGUAACGAGCGCAACCCUUGUCCCUAUUUGCCAGCGAUUCGGUCGGGAACUCUAGGGAGACUGCCGGUGACAAACCGGAGGAAGGUGGGGACGACGUCAAGUCAUCAUGGCCCUUACGGGUAGGGCUACACACGUGCUACAAUGGCCGGUACAAUGGGUUGCGAAGCCGCGAGGUGGAGCUAAUCCCAUAAAGCCGGUCUCAGUCCGGAUCGGAGUCUGCAACUCGACUCCGUGAAGUCGGAAUCGCUAGUAAUCGUGAAUCAGAAUGUCACGGUGAAUACGUUCCCGGGCCUUGUACACACCGCCCGUCACACCAUGGGAGUGGACUGCACCAGAAGU
rnacentral:rRNA from 1 species